GAAUCAUGUUCAAAAAAUAACUGCGUUCAAAAAUAAAACAAUGUAAAACUUUAGAGCCUACAAGUCCAAUCAGUCUCACUUCUUGUUCGGCCAAUCACUCAGACACACGUUUGUUUACAAUUGCAGCAGAUAAUCCUGCCCAC